rnacentral:rRNA from 1 species
GACGAACGCUGGCGGCGUGCCUAAUACAUGCAAGUCGAACGCUGAAGAGAGGAGCUUCCUCUUCUUGGAUGAGUUGCGCACGGGUGAGUAACGCGUAGGUAACCUGCCUUGUAGCGGGGGAUAACUAUUGGAAACGAUAGCUAAUACCGCAUAACAAUGGAUGACACAUGUCAUUUAUUUGAAAGGGGCAAUUGCUCCACUACAAGAUGGACCUGCGUUGUAUUAGCUAGUAGGUGAGGUAAUGGCUCACCUAGGCGACGAUACAUAGCCGACCUGAGAGGGUGAUCGGCCAGACUGGGACUGAGACACGGCCCAGACGCCUACGGGAGGCAGCAGUAGGGAAUCUUCGGCAAUGGGUGCAACCCUGACCGAGCAACGCCGCGUGAGUGAAGAAGGUUGUCGGAUCGUAAAGCUCUGUUGUAAGUCAAGAACGGGUGUGAGAGUGGAAAGUUCACACUGUGACGGUAGCUGACCAGAAAGGGACGGCUAACUACGUG